rnacentral:rRNA from 1 species
AGAGAUGUGUGAUGACGCAUAUCAAUAAGCGGAGGAAAGAAACUAACAAGGAUUCCCUCAGUAACGGCGAGUGAAGCGGGAAGAGCUCAAAUUUGAAAUCUUCAAGGUUCUACCUUGACGAACUUGUAGUUUAUAGAAGUGUUUUCUGUUAGUGGAGUGGCAAAAGUUCUUUGGAAUAGGACAUCAUAGAGGGUGAGAAUCCCGUAUUUGGUCAUUCCUCCUAGCGUUGUGAUACACUUUCAACGAGUCGGAUUGUUUGGGAAUGCAGUCCAAAAUGGGUGGUAAAUUUCAUCUAAAGCUAAAUAUUGGCGAGAGACCGAUAGCGAACAAGUACCGUGAGGGAAAGAUGAAAAGAACUUUGAAAAGAGAGUUAAACAGUACGUGAAAUUGUCAAAAGGGAAGCGUUUGACACCAGUGUUGUUUUUCCGAAAAUCAAUUACGAAUGUUUUAUUUUUGAGGAGUUAUGACUUCAUCGGCUUGCUCCUUUCUUUAUGAAACUUUCUUAAUGCACUUUUCGGUUAACAAGUCAACAUCAAUUUCUUUUGUUGUAAAAGGGUAUGAGGAAGGUGGCUUUCUUUUCGGAGAAAGUGUUUAUAGCCUUGUGCCUCUGCAAUCGGAGAGAUUGAGGUCUGCAGCGUAGAUCCUUCGGGGUUAGAUACGUUUGUGCUAAGUUAUAGCUUUUCAUAGACAACUUGUUGACUAUGUUAAGUCUUGUAGCUUACUCGCUUACGCUAUUUUACCUACGCUUAGGAUGUUGACGAUCAGCUGAGCGCG